CAGCAGCCGCGGGAAUACGGAGGGUGCAAGCGUUAAUCGGAAUUACUGGGCGUAAAGCGCACGCAGGCGGUCUGACAAGUCAGAUGUGAAAUCCCCGGGCUUAACCUGGGAACUGCAUUUGAAACUGUCAGGCUGGAGUCUUGUAGAGGGGGGUGGAAUUCCAGGUGUAGCGGUGAAAUGCGUAGAGAUCUGGAGGAAUACCGGUGGCGAAGGCGGCCCCCUGGACAAAGACUGACGCUCAGGUGCGAAAGCGUGGGGAGCAAACAGGAUUAGAUACCCCAGUAGUCCCUGUCUAUUAUAC
rnacentral:rRNA from 1 species